rnacentral:rRNA from 1 species
UACGGGGGGAGCAAGCGUUGUUCGGAUUUACUGGGCGUAAAGGGCGCGUAGGCGGUCAGCACAAGUCAGUUGUGAAAUCUCCGGGCUUAACCCGGAAAGGUCAACUGAUACUGUGCGACUAGAGUGCGGAAGGGGCAACUGGAAUUCUCGGUGUAGCGGUGAAAUGCGCAGAUAUCUGGAGGAACACCGGUGGCGAAGGCGGCAUCCUGGACCAUGACUGACGCUGAGGAGCGAAAGCCAGGGGAGCAAACGGG